rnacentral:lncRNA from 1 species
GUUUACUAAACGGCUCAAUAUUUGUCACAAUUCUUGCCAGCUCCCUUUUGCUCUGUUUAUCCUGUACUGGUUCCUGGCUCAGUUUGGGGCUGAGGACACAACCCUGGAUGUGGGACCUCUGAGUGUCCAUUGUGGACUCAGAGAGGGUGGAUAAAUGAUGCUCUCAUCAACUGCUUCUCCUUUGCUACCUUCUCACUUCGUUCCCCAUGUCUGCACCGAGCUCCUUUCAGUAGGAAGAGAGUUGGGAAAUGAUGCAAUCCCUGUCCUGUCCUGUCCGCCCAUCCAAAAAUGUUGAGUGUAUCUAUGGCAAAAUGAUGCUGGUUUCAAUGAGCUAAAGUGAAAAGGAUAGAUGCUGGUUCGUUAUCUCUAAUUGCCUCACUUUGCAGCCCAGUCCUAGGCUAUCCAAUUGAGUAGACAGUACUUCUCUGUUUGGGGCUCUUUGGUCUUACAGUAAUCUUCUCGGAAUAGAACUUCUACGAUUCUUUCUCUGAAAUAAUAAGGUUUAAGGCCACAUCUGUGAAGAUAUAGCAGAUAGCUCAUUUCAACAGGAAUUGUACGUGAAGGGCCUUUAAAAAUCUCUUCCUGAAGGUCUGCUAAUGAAACAGCCCUGAGAUCUCAAGGGCCAGGGAGAGAAACAGGUGAUAAACAUAACACAGCUGAUAACAUUGAGGAUUCAAAGUGAUCCUCAAUUAGUGGGGCACCAGGUGUUCCAAAGGAGCUACAUAAAAGACGAUGUGGAAAGAGAAGGAGAGGGAGGGUGUUGGAGAGUGUGCUUCUGGUUUGCUGAGGCUGGAGAUCUGCUUUGGAGCAGGAGCUUGCCUCUCCAGCGAGGACUCACCACUUGGCUUGGCACUAUGGAAGCACUCUCAGCAGGGAAGUCAUUUGCCCAGCAUCAUCCACAAAGAGCACAAGAAGUCAAAAAUGAGCAAAACCAGGACUCCUGGGUUCUGAUCAGAACUGAAAAGAAUGGUGAAUUUGGGGGAUGUGGAUUAGUUCAGGGCCACAUACAGCUUCAUUGCCCCGUGCAGCUCCAUCCCUGGGGACAGAGAAAGCUUCUUCCCAGAGCAGUUAGGGCUGCACCCAGCCAGGUCUCUGUGCUGCCAAAUCUCGUGAAUCUCCUCUCAAAAAAUUAACAGCUCCCAGCCCCUUGCCAAGAAGAUAGCAUGCAAGAUCCUGCCUGCUUCCUUGCAGGACUCUGCACAGGACAAUGUGCUGAAUGAGAGGGGUCUGAAUUACUUCCAAGUAACACAAUGUGGGGUGGGUAAGCCUGUGUCAAAACCGUUUCAGUGAUCAGUUCGGGCCAUGAAAUCCAGAUAAUCGCACAGGAGGACUCUGGGGGCUCUUGAUGCCAAUAAUGGAAGAUGCCAAGAAUGAGUCUUUCACUUGGUGAGAAAAAGAACUGAAAUAAAAGGGUUCCCUGUUUAGUCUUAGCCUUGUCG